CAAAAACAUAGCCUACUAUUUAACUUAGGUACAACCCUGCCCUCUGACUUUUAACAGCCGCGGUAUCCUAACCGUGCUAAGGUAGCAUAAUCACUUGCCUAUUAAUUAUAGGCUAGAAUGAACGGGAUCACUCACUUAAACUUAUUUUUAUUUAAAUUUAAAUUAAACUUUAAGUCAAAAUACUAAAUUAAAAAGAAAGACAAAAAGACCCUGAAAACUAUUAGAAAUAAUUAGUUGGGGCAACUAUAGACCACUCUAGCGUCUAUUUUUUUUUAAACUCUUAAAAUCUAAAGUAUCCAGUUACUUCAGGGAUAACAGACUAAUUUUAUUAUUUAGACCCAAUAAAUAAUAAAGAUUGGCACCUCGAUGUUGGCUUAUAUUUCCUUCAUAUAGCAACAUAUAUAGAAGGCAGCU
rnacentral:rRNA from 1 species